UACGGAGGGGGCUAGCGUUGUUCGGAAUUACUGGGCGUAAAGCGCGCGUAGGCGGCUUUGUAAGUUAGAGGUGAAAGCCCGGAGCUCAACUCCGGAAUUGCCUUUAAGACUGCAUCGCUAGAAUCAUGGAGAGGUUAGUGGAAUUCCGAGUGUAGAGGUGAAAUUCGUAGAUAUUCGGAAGAACACCAGUGGCGAAGGCGACUAACUGGACCGGCAUUGACGCUGAGGUGCGAAAGCGUGGGGAGCAAACAGG
rnacentral:rRNA from 1 species